AUGGAUUCAAUGUACCGCCUGGAAAAUUUUAUCUUGUGGAUGCGGGUUAUGCAAAUACACCCCAAUUCAUUGCUCCAUACUGAGGAACUAGAUAUCAUUUACAAGAACAAGGAAGAGUUCAGCAAAGGCCACAAUGCUACAAGGAGUUAUUUAACCUUCGACAUGCUCAACUACGAAAUCAUGUCGAAAGAAUUAUUGGCAUACUAA
rnacentral:rRNA from 1 species